rnacentral:lncRNA from 15 species
AGCGGCACCUACACCUGCACCGCCAGAGCAUUAGGAGGACAACGGAGAGUGAGAGAAGUACAGCUGAAGGUCAAAGGUCAGCAACAAACCUUAAAACCUACUCUAGAUCUGUGAUUCCCAAACUGAGGGUCCUAAAAGUUUAAUGGGGGUGAAGCUUUCUUGACUUUAUGGCAUGUAAGAAAACUAAAUGAAAAUAUACACAGUAGGCCUAGAUCUCAGCAUUUGGUUCACUUAUAUAAAGAAAAUUAAAUAUAUAAUUUUAAGUUAAUUGUCUGAUAGAACAAUGGCCAAGCAUCAGGGACAAGAAAACACUGAAUUUGUCAGAAAAGAAGCCUAUUAAGUUGUAUGAUUGUUACAAAUAAUGAAUAAAUAUAUAAAACAGACANNNNNNNNNNNNNNNNNNNNUUAACCCCAAUAAAAACAUGAAGAACAUAUUAAAGGCAGCAUAUUUUCAAUGUUUGUGUAAAUCAUGAUGAAUGUAGAAGACUGUACAGUCAGACUGUCCUCAGUUCUGUUCUUCAGGAUUAUAUCUCUGGAGGUUGUUCACAUUCUUAUAGCUUAUAUUACCAAUAGUAUUAAUGAUCCUAACACACUCAUUUAAACACCAUGUUGGAUCAAUACAGUCAGUCUAUCAGUUUGUUCUGUUAUUGCUCCUGUUUGUGAGUCUGAUCACAAACAGGAGCAGAUUGAGGAUCCAGGAGCAAUAAGACCUGAAAUAAGGCUGCUGUGAUUGAACCUCUCUGUCUGUGUGACCUCACAGUUUCCCAGCAUGCCUCAGCUGUGGAUCUGUAUGAGGGGGAGGAGUUUGUCCUGCUGCCCUGUGAGUAUAAAACUUUUGAACUGGACAACCCCACAGUGGUGUGGAGCCGCUACGGUCUCAAUCCUCCAACCGUCCACCAGCGUCAGCAGGGAGGUGAUGAAUUUAUAUACCAAAACCAGCUUUACAGCGGCCGAACAUCCAUGAUGGCUGACGCUCUGGAAACUGGAGACCUCAGCCUCAAUCUGACAAAACUCCGCCUCUCUGACAGCGGCACCUACACCUGCACCGUCAGAUCAUCAAGAGGAAAACAGAGAGUGAGAGAAGUACAGCUGAAGGUCAAAGUUUCCCAGCAUGCCUCAGUUGUGGAGCUGUAUGAGGGGGAGGAGUUUGUCCUGCUGCCCUGUGAGUAUCACACAUUCGAUGUGGACAACCCCACAGUGGUGUGGAGCCGCUACGAUCUCAAUCCUCCAACCGUCCACCAGCGUCAGCAGGAAGGUGAUGAACUCAAAGACCAAAACCAGCUUUCCAGCGGCCGAACAUCCAUGAUGGCUGACGCUCUGGAAACUGGAGACCUCAGCCUCAAUCUGACAAAACUCCGCCUCNNNNNNNNNNNNNNNNNNNNNNNNNNNNNNNNNNNNNNNNNNNNNNNNNNNNNNNNNNNNNNNNNNNNNNNNNNNNNNNNNNNNNNNNNNNNNNNNNNNNUGUGACUCUCUGUCAGCCUGGCUACAGUGCUGAAGAGGAACCUGGGGUUAUUCUUAUUUUCUUCUAUUAGUGCUGAGUAAUAGGCUCCUCUGGCAUUACGGAGGGCCUUUCGGUUUUAAGAUUAUCUUGCCAAAUUGAGCGAUAUUAUGAUAAUUUGGAAGAGCGCCAUUUCCUUUCAGAUUUCCUUGCUAUUUGCUUUAAUUGGCGGGUUUGGUGGUUGUACCACGGUGCUAGUCUCCUAUGUUUUAAUAAUUUCCUUUUUAUAGGAACGAUAGAGUCUAAUGUUGAUUGUAGUGAGCCUGCAGCACUAUCGACAAGAUUAUCAAUUUCGGAGGGACUAAAGUUGUUAUAGGACUCUGUUAUAUUCAGACAUAGCAUUGAAUUAAACACUGAAGGAAUCUCCUCCUUAAAUUUAGCUACAGCACUGUCAGAUAGACAUCUGCUGUAGGAAGUUUUGCCUAAUGGCUUAUAAUCUAAUAGUAUGAAUUUAAAAGUUAUUAAAUAAUGGUCAGAUAGGAAAGGAUUAUGUGGGAAGACUAUUAAAUGUUCAAUAUCAAUGCCAUAUGAUAAAACAAGGUCAAGAGUGUGAUUAAAACAAUGAGUUGGUUUAUUUACACUCUGACAGAAGCCAAUUGAGUCUAUUAAUGAUAUAAAUGCGUUACUAAGGCUGCCAUUGUCAACAUCCACAUGAAUAUUAAAAUCACCUACAAUAAUUACUUUAUCUGAUUUAAGGACUAAACUUGAUAAAAACUCUGAGAAUUCAGAUAUAAAAUCAGAGUACGGUCCAGGAGCGCAGUACACUAUAACAAAUAGAACUGGCUGCAGUGUUUUCUAGUUUGGGUGAGAAAGACUAAGAACAAGGCUUUCAAAUUAAUUAUAAUUUAGUUUAGGUUUAGGGUCCAUUAAAACGCUUGAAUCGUAUAUGGCUGCUACUCCACCUCCUCGGCCAGUGCCUCGAGGAAUGUGAGUAUUAAUAUGACUGGGGGGGUGGAUUCAUUUAGGCUAACAUACUCCUCGUGGGACAACCAGGUCUCAGUAAGACAAAGUAAAUCAAUAUCAUAAUCUGAUAUUAAUUCAUUCACUAAAACAGCUUUUGAAGACAGAGACCUGAUAUUUAACAGCCCACAUUUCAUUCUCUUAUUUUGUGCUACUGACGAGUUUGUUUUAAUUUUUAUUAGAUUUUUAUGUUGAACUCCUCUUGUUUUUAUUUCUUUAAAUAAUUUAGGUGGUCGGGGGACAGACACAGUCUCUAUGGGGUUUUGGGUGGGUGACUGUUCUAAAGAAAGCGCAGAGAAGUGUGUAAGACAGCAGCACUCAGGUUUUAGAAAAAAACUUCGCCAUAUUUCUAGAUAAGAGAGCCGCUCCAACCAAUACAGUAUUCUUACUUCAUGUUAUUAAAUUGGCAAUGACCUCAGAAUUUACAUUUACCGUCAGUCAAACUAGAAGGACUGCUUUCACACAAAAGGGGGCUGGGCAUGACACAAAGACAAACUACCCUACUACUAUGGGCUGUUCUCAUCUAUAACAAUUUUAUUUUAUUUGUAUAGCGCCAAUUCAUAACAGAAGUUAUCUCAGGACACUUUUCAAAUAGAGAAGGUCUAGACCGAACUCCUUAAAACAUUUUUAACAGAGACCCAACAGUACCACCAUGAGCAAGCACUUGAUGACGUGUGCAGAAAGAGAGGAAGAGAAGAGCUCAGUGCAUUAUGGGAAAUCCCCCGAUGGUCUAGAUCUAUAGCAGCAUAACUAAGGGAUGAUUCAGGACUCACCUAAGCCCUAACUAUAACCUUUAUCAAAGAGGAACGUCUUAAGCCUACUCUUAAACGUGGAGAGGGUGUCUGCCUCCCAAACCACAACUGGAAGUUGGUUCCACAGGAGAGGAGCUUGGUAACUGAAGGCUCUGGCUCCUGUUCUACUUUUAGAGACUAUAGGAACCACAAGUAGCCCUGCAUUCAGAGAACGCAGUGUUCUAGUGGGGUAAUAGGGUGCUAUGAGCUCUUUAAGAUAUGAAGGGGCCUGACCAUGAAGAGCUUUGUAGGUGAGGAGGAGGAGGAUUUUAAAUUCUAUUCUAAAUUUUACAGGGAGCCAGUGCAGAGAAGCAAGUACAGGAGAGAUAUGAUCUCUUUUCCUAGUUCCUGUCAGUACUCGUGCUGCAGCAUUCUGAAUUAAUUGGAGCGUCUUAAUGGACUUAUUGGGGAAGCCUGAUAAUAAGGAGUUGCAGUAAUCCAGCCUAGAAGUAACAAAUGCAUGGGUUAGUUUUUCUGCAUCCGUCUGUGACAGGAUGUGUCUAUUUUUUUUGUAAUAUUACGUAAAUGAAAGAAGGCAGUCCUAGAGGUUUGCAUUAUAUUGGAAUUAAAUGACAUGUCCUGAUCAAAGAUAACUCCAAGAUUCCUGAGAGUGGUGCUAGAGGCCAAGGUGAUGCCAUCUAGAGUGAUUAUAUCUUUAGAAAGUGAGUCUCUGAGGUUUUUGGGGGCAAGUACAAGAAUUUUGUUUUUCUCUGAGUUUAACAUCAGAAAAUAGCAGCUAAUCCAGGAUUUUAUGUCUUUAGGACCACAAAUAUUGUUGGCACUAGAGGAAAAGUCAGGGGUACAUUAAAGUAAGUUGGAGUCAUCCUCUGG